AUGUUUUAUUUGUUAGCAUAGCAUGAUAUUAGAUUUAAACACUUAAUACAUUUUUAAAUCAAUCACUUUGUCUCUGUUUACAUUAGUUAAUGCACAAUGAACAUUAUCAAAUAUUAUUAAUGUUGUAAAAUAUAUUGUUCAUUGUUAGUUCAUAUUAGCUAAGGCAUUACCAAAUGUUAAGGAAUAAACUCUUAUAGUAAAGUGUUACUAAAUUUUCUUUUACCAUUUCCUUCACAAUGUCUAUUUAUUUCUAUGGCUAACAGAUUUUGUAACAUUUGUCUUUUUUACAGUCUUACCAUUGCUUGUAAGCUGGAUUGGGUAAGAUGGAUCAUCUUUAAAGGCACCAGGAGUUAAGGCAGAUGUGGAGGCACAACGGGUGAUACCAGACACACACCAAGCACAUUAUGUUCGGACAUUCAAUCAUGACAGGAUCCAGGUGGAUGCUGUCCAUUGAGAAAAGAGUUUGUUCAGCGGUUUCUGGAUAGAAUUAAUUCCAAAGAUGGGAAAAAGUGCACAUCCAGACAAGGAGCAAGCAAAUAGACAAGGAACUUGGUGCAGAGAAAAGCUGUGGCCAUUAACCCCCAUGUGAACAGCUUCAUGCAGUCCCUGAUUGAGUUCGAAUGGACGACUUCAAAGUAAAGGCCACUGUGGUCUGUCUGCCACAGUUUAAUGCAUUUAUUUUUAGUGUUAAAUGAAAUUCAAGUAGAAUAUUUAAAACUAUGGGCCAGUGUUCUUUUUACCACAGUGAAAUGUUACCUUUUAGUCGAUGAUGGACUUUAAACUGAAAACUUCAAACUAUGGAACAGUGUUCUAUUUGCCAGAGUUAAAUAUGUUACAGCA